GGCUUUCUCCCUGCUUGCCGGGGUGGUCCUCUCCUCUUUGUCGGACCAAAGAAGUAAAUACUGUGUGGAGGGGGACUGACGUGUUUGGAGGGAAAUGGGAAGGUACACGAUAAUUAAAGAGUAAAGUUGUGCUUAACGUUUCAGGAAUAAAAAGUACAAAAGAAGACUGGUUAAAAUGUGUUGCUACAAAGAAAAGGACACAGAAAGACAGCCAAGAGAAAGAUAAUGUUAAUUCAAGACUCUCAAAGAGAAGCUUCAGUGCAGAUGGAUUUGAGAUGCUACAAAACCCAGUAAAAGAUUCAAAAGAAAUGUUUCAAACCUACAAACAGAUGUACCUGGAGAAGAGAAGCAGAAGCCUUGGUAGCAGUCCUGUAAAAUAAUUACAAGAUGUGGUUUUGUAAUUGCCACUGGGAAAUUUCUUUCCUUUUCUGUUCAAAAUAUUUCGCUGAAACUAAUGAGAAAUGCCAUGAUAAAGAUUUCUCAGAGUUUGGUUCCCACUUUCAUUAUGUUUCAUUGAAAGUGCUUAAGAACUUUGGGUAGCCAUGUGUAAGAAAUGGAUGAUGUUCACCGGGGAAACAUAAGGUAUUUGAAUUUCUGCUUUAUUGAACCAGGUUUGCUAUUAUUUUAAAUGGAGUGCUUAUACAAAUCAAUUUGAAAUUCUACCCAUCUUGAGGGAGGACUGUUCCUCAGUUAAGGACUUGUUUAUUUAAAUGGGACUGUAAAUAUGUUUUGGUUUCUAAGCUAUAUUAGCAAAAUUUAUUUUUCAAAAAUGCCCACUGUGAUGUGAAUGUCAAAAUAUAUU
rnacentral:sRNA from 1 species